rnacentral:pre_miRNA from 1 species
UGCAUACUCCCUCCGUCCCAAAAUUCUUGUCUUAGAUUUAUCUAGAUACGGAUGUAUCUAAUACUAAAACGUGACUUGAUACAUCCGUAUUUAGACAAAUCUAAGACAAGAAUUUUGAGACGGAGGGAGUACUUC